GCCUGCCGGAUGCGUUAUUGACAGCACGUGUUUUGAACCAACACUUUUUUUAAGGGAUUUUGUCUCCGAUGGCGGAUUGCAGGCUCUCCGUGCUUUUUAGCACCCGAGAGAAGCGCGAAACCGUUGGGCAAUUGCCCACCUGUACAAACAGGUUUAAAAAUGGCUGUAAGACGGUCAGGCGGGGUA
rnacentral:other from 2 species